rnacentral:tRNA from 1 species
GCUAUUUUGGCAGAAAAAUGUAUUAAAUUUAGAAUUUAAUUAUAUAAUUUAAAUUAUAAAUAGUA